GUGUAGCUUAUAGAGCACUUGCCUGGCAUGCAUGAGGUCCUGGGUUUGAUUCCCAGCAC
rnacentral:tRNA from 1 species